ACCCUAUUUCAGAAUAGAAUCUGGAAACUCCUCCCACUCCAGUACGCAGGCGAAUUGUGAAUUGAUCACUUCUCUUAAUCCACCAGCCACAAAGGCAUUUCAAGGACCAUGCUGAUUGAGGAUUAUUAGGAUGAUGGACAUUCGACUGGGUCACACCUACCGCAGUAUCCCUGUUGGCUUUGUAGAGGAAUGAGCUUGAUAUCGCUCCACUUGCAUUUCAAGGACCAUGCUGAUUGAGGAUUAUUAGGAUGAUGGACAUUCGACUGGGUCACACCUACCGCAGUAUCCCUGUUGGCUUUGUAGAGGAAUG